rnacentral:rRNA from 1 species
UGCUCCUCACUGUGGUUCGGAGGCAAUGCAUCAAGUAUCAAUGAACAAUGUUCAAUGAAUGCAGCAAUGAUUCAAUUCAAUCAUUCAAUGCAUUACAUCCAUUGGCUAUUCAUUGACCAUUGAAACUUGAGCAUUGAACAUUUCCGAGCUAGAGUGAGGAGUGAUGGCGAGCGGCGGACGGCUGAGUAACACGUAGGAACAUACCCCAAACUGAGGGAUAAGCACCAGAAAUGGUGUCUAAUACCGCAUGUGGCCCAAGGGCUAAAGCUUCGGCGGUUUGGGAAUGGCCUGCGCAUGAUUAGAUUGUUGGUAGGGUAACGGCCUACCAAGUCGACGAUCAUUAGCUGGUCUGAGAGGAUGACCAGCCAGACUGGAACUGAGAACGGUCCAGACUCCUACGGGAGGCAGCAGUAGGGAAUUUUCCACAAUGGGGGCAACCCUGAUGGAGCAACGCCGCGUGCAGGAUAAGGCCUUAGGGUUGUAAACUGCUUUUAUCUGUGACGAAUAUGACGGUAGCAGAUGAAUAAGGAUCGGCUAACUCCGUGCCAGCAGCCGCGGUCAUACGGAGGAUCCAAGCGUUAUCCGGAAUUACUGGGCGUAAAGAGUUGCGUAGGUGGCAGAGUGUGUCUGUAGUGAAAGCGUUCGGCUCAACCGAAUAAACAUUAUGGAAACUGCUCGGCUAGAGGAUGAGAGAGGUUAUUGGAAUUCCCAGUGUAGGAGUGAAAUCCGUAGAUAUUGGGAAGAACACCGAUGGCGUAGGCAGAUAACUGGCUCAUUCCUGACACUAAGGCACGAAAGCGUGGGGAGCAAACGGGAUUAGAUA